GAUGAACGCUGGCGGCGUGCCUAAUACAUGCAAGUCGAGCGAACGGACGAGAAGCUUGCUUCUCUGAUGUUAGCGGCGGACGGGUGAGUAACACGUGGAUAACCUACCUAUAAGACUGGGAUAACUUCGGGAAACCUGAGCUAAUACCGGAUAAUAUUUUGAACCGCAUGGUUCAAAAGUGAAAGACGGUCUUGCUGUCACUUAUAGAUGAAUCCGCGCUGCAUUAGGUAGUUGGUAAGGUAACGGCUUACCAAGGCAACGAGGCAUAGCCGACCUGAGAGGGGAAGCGGCCCUGAGGGAAUGACAGCCCAGACCGGGCCUGAAAGGGGGCCCGGACUCGUGAGUGAGCCAGCAGGGGGGAAAAUUGCACGAUGGACGCAAGCCUGAGGGAGCAACGCCUCGGGAUGGAAAACGGCCUUUAGUUGGUAAAACUCUUUGAGUACGGACGUGGCGCAAGUUACGGUAUGUGCAGAAGAAGGACCGGGCAAAAACGUG
rnacentral:rRNA from 1 species